UUCUCGUGAUGCUGCGGAUUUUUCCAGAGGAAGUUUGACGCUAGACAGCAGAGCAUCAGUUCGUUGGUGAGGAAAUAAGAUAGCGGCCCUUUGGGGGGAAAUCAGCGUGAACUUGCUCGCCAGAAAAAUGCCAAGAAGCAAAGUGACAUGCACAAGGGCAAGAGAAAUGAUGACGGUUUAUCUGCUGCUGCCAGAAAGCAGAGGUAACCUACAACGUUGAUGUUGAUAUUGCUUUGUUCCAGUGAAUCCAAGCAUUCAAAAUGUGCUACACUUCAAAACACUUAUUUUGGGACACUUUAUUGCAAGUACUUUUUUUCCUUCUUUUUUAGAGAUGCAGAAAUAAUGCAACAGAAACAAAAGAAAGCCAAUGCGAAAAUGGAACCUAAAUCCAAAUAGUCCAAAGACAACAGCAAACCUGUUACCAUUGAUGUCAUUAGGCUUAAUUGGGGAUUUAUUUUUGUCGGUCUUGAUUUCACAGUUCUUGUUUUCUUUCAUAACAUUUAAUACUUGUACUGACUUUGGUUGAUUGGGUAUUAACUUAACUGUGCACAGGUCUUCCUUUUCUUGAUCAGCAUUUACAAUGUAAAAACCAAGAAUAACAGAUCAUCUUGGAACUGCAUACUCUUUUAUAGACUUUUAUAUACCAUUCCUUUUCUUGAAAUUGCUGAAUAAAGUGUACAUAAAGAGUGUGCUAUUGUUUCAAAAGAUAUGUGAAAUGGGUUUUAUAAUAUAAAACCAUUUUUUUCUUCUUGAAAGUUGGAUAGUUUACUAUAGGAUAAAAAAAAUAAAAUAAAAAAAACAGUAGUGCUGCAGAUCACGUCAGAACUUGCAGGGUUUCCAGGUUCUGAAUUAAACCCAAAUAAUGAAUAAAAAUCAUUUGAGUUAGUCUAAAAUUUUUAUUUAACACAAAUGUUAAAAACACUUAUAUGAACAUGUCCUUAGAAACAAAUAAUUCAAAUAAUUACAGCAUGUAAAACAAAACAAAAAAAAAAACAAAA